rnacentral:lncRNA from 1 species
CGUUCCAACUGCAAAUUUUUCAGAGGGACUGUACCUCGACUCGUCUCUGAAAGGCCAUAUACACACACGGUGACGUGUGAGUAACGCACUCACGCGUGAAACGUAAGUGUGGUUAGACGAUGUGUAUAGACACGCAUGAAUGUGCAUGGAUCCGAGAAGAUAAGGGACGUACGUGUGAAUGGACGAAGCGUCACCUUGAAAAAGAGUAAGUGUCGAAAGAACGUCUUAUCUGCGACAUUGUAUGUAUGUAAUGGAUACUUAAGUACAUAUGACGAGUGCACGAAUAGGUGGCGUUCGUGUCAAUUUGUAGCUCGUUUGCAUAAAUAACUGAUACGUGGAAAAAGAAAUAUAAUGUAGGAUCGCUUUAUUCUUUGGUGUAAAUAAUUGUUGUGAUAAGCAGUGAUCUGUUGAGAACCGUUAAGGUCCAUUGGAACUAAAAUUAAUCUCUGGGGAGAAUAAUGGAGGAGUCUCUCUAGCUUUGAAAAUCGUAUCGCAUCAGAAACUCCCAUUGCAUCGGUACAAGAAGUGGAAGAUCAAAAUCCCUGAUCUCGAUGAGAGAAGCCCAGAUAUUCAAGAUUAGGAGGGAUUUACAAAAGGGAUGUUAGGUAUUCAGGAAAGCAGCCAGUCUCGUAGGAAGUCUGCUACGUGACGACGAUGUCAAGUUCGAACAAAGAAACGAAAAACGAUAAUAGAAAGGUAGAGAAGGCUAGAGUGCAAUAGGAAACAAUGAACAAGAGGGCGCAUAAAUGAACGUUCUGAAAACAUUUUCUGUCUUUGGCAGACGAUGGGACUCUUGCACUUGCAUAUAUUGCCGAUGCUCUUCAAUAUUCUAGUUGCACUUUUCUUCUAUUUACUUCUAUUUUUAGAAGACUUCCUGUGCUUUUGAACCUCUUUGCUGAUUCUACGGGUGAAGAAAAUGGAUUAUGGGAAUGUUACUUCUGCUGUUCUUCGAAAGGUUCUCACUGUCUCUAUGACUGAAGAAAAUGGAGUACCUUCAACUUCUAUACGUAAACAAAAUGGCGGACCAUAAUAUUAGCUUGUUCCACAUGGAAUUAUAUAUCUCUUUUAUUUAUUUAUAUCGUUAGUCAAAGGAUAUUCUACGUAUGUCAAAGUUCUUGGCUGUUUCUACGAGUGAAGAAAAUGGAGUACAUUUAAGUUCUACAUGUAAACAAAAUGGCGGACUGCUUCUCUAAAAAUCACGUAACUUUUAUGUAAUCUUUUUAUGAACAUCUUUAACAUCA